rnacentral:pre_miRNA from 1 species
UUAGUACUCCCUUCGUCUGAAAAUACUUAUCCUAAAAAUACAUAUAAUGAAUGUAUCUAUAAUUAAAAUAAGUUUAGAUACAUUCAUUUCUAGGACAAGUAUUUCGGAUGGAGGUAGUACUAU